GCGGUCGUGGCGGAAUUGGUAUACGCGCUACCUUGAGGUGGUAGUGGGGGAAACCCCGUGGAGGUUCAAGUCCUCUCGACCGCACCA
rnacentral:tRNA from 1 species